AGUGAACGCUGGCGGUAGGCCUUACACAUGCAAGUCGAACGGCAGCACGGUUACUUCUUCCUCUUACCGGUUGCGGAUGGCGUGCGUGUUAGAUCUACAUCUGUCUUGACGUUUGCGUUAGCGCUGCCAUAGCCGAACUAACACUACUUCCGCAUACCGGCUGCAAGUGGGAGCAGUUCGUCUUCCGCCCUUUAGCGUUUGCCUGUGCCGAUUUCGGAUUAGCUAGUUGGAGGGGUAAAGGCCCACCAAGGCGACGAUCAGUAGCUGGUCUGAGAGGACGACCAGCCACACUGGAACUGAGACACGGCCCAGACUCCUACGGGAGGCAGCAGUGGGGAAUUUUGGACAAUGGGCGAAAGCCUGAUCCAGCCAUGCCGCGUGGGUGAAGAAGGCCUUCGGGUUGUAAAGCACUUUUGUUGGGAAAGAAAAGCAUGACGUUAAUACAGUCGGGGUAUGACGGUACCGAAAGAAUAAGCACCGGCUAACUACGUG
rnacentral:rRNA from 1 species